UACGGAGGGGGCUAGCGUUGUUCGGAAUUACUGGGCGUAAAGCGCACGUAGGCGGCAUGUUUAGUCAGAGGUGAAAGGCCUGGGCUCAACCCGGGAACUGCCUUUGAUACUGACAAGCUUGAGUCCGAGAGGGGGUGGUGGAACUCCCAGUGUAGAGGUGAAAUUCGUAGAUAUUGGGAAGAACACCGGUGGCGAAGGCGACCACCUGGCUCGGGACUGACGCUGAGGUGCGAAAGCGUGGGGAGCAAACAGG
rnacentral:rRNA from 1 species